GCGCAGCAGGCGAGAAACUUUACAAUGUGCGAAAGCACGAUAAGGGAACUCUGAGUGCCUCCUAAGGAGGCUGUUCAGGUGUCUAAAAGCACCUGAAGGAAGGGCUGGGUAAGACCGGUGCCAGCCGCCGCGGUAACACCGGCAGCCCAAGUGGUAGCCACGUUUAUUGGGUCUAAAGCGUCCGUAGCCGGCUGGGUAAGUUCCUUGGGAAAUUUGGCUGCUUAACAGUCAAGCUUUCAGGGAAUACUGCCCGGCUUGGGACCGGGAGAGGUCAGAGGUACUCCAGGGGUAGGGGUGAAAUCCAUUAAUCCUUGGGGGACCACCGGUAGCGAAGGCGUCUGACCAGACCGGGUCCGACGGUGAGGGACGAAGGCUAGGGGCGCGAACCGGAUUAGAUACCCGUGUAGU
rnacentral:rRNA from 1 species